AGAGCGAACGCUGGCGGCAGGCUUAACACAUGCAAGUCGAACGGGCAUAGCAAUAUGUCAGUGGCAGACGGGUGAGUAACGCGUGGGAACGUACCUUUUGGUUCGGAACAACACAGGGAAACUUGUGCUAAUACCGGAUAAGCCCUUACGGGGAAAGAUUUAUCGCCGAAAGAUCGGCCCGCGUCUGAUUAGCUAGUUGGUGAGGUAAUGGCUCACCAAGGCGACGAUCAGUAGCUGGUCUGAGAGGAUGAUCAGCCACAUUGGGACUGAGACACGGCCCAAACUCCUACGGGAGGCAGCAGUGGGGAAUAUUAGACAAUGGGCGAAAGCCUGAUCCAGCCAUGCCGCGUGAGUGAUGAAGGCCCUAGGGUUGUAAAGCUCUUUGUGCGGGAAGAUAAUGACGGUACCGCAAGAAUAGCCCGGCUAACUUCGCGCCAGCAGCCGC
rnacentral:rRNA from 1 species